GCGCUGAUAGCUCAGUUGGGAGAGCGUUAGACUGAAGAUCUAAAGGUCCCUGGUUCGAUCCCGGGUCAGCGCG
rfam:Cyclospora cayetanensis strain CHN_HEN01 contig_49, whole genome shotgun sequence.